rnacentral:rRNA from 1 species
CCUACGGGAGGCAGCAGUGAGGAAUAUUGGUCAAUGGACGAGAGUCUGAACCAGCCAAGUAGCGUGAAGGAUGACUGCCCUAUGGGUUGUAAACUUCUUUUAUAAAGGAAUAAAACGAGGCACGUGUGCCUGUUUGCAUGUACUUUAUGAAUAAGGAUCGGCUAACUCCGUGCCAGCAGCCGCGGUAAUACGGAGGAUCCGAGCGUUAUCCGGAUUUAUUGGGUUUAAAGGGAGCGUAGAUGGGUUGUUAAGUCAGUUGUGAAAGUUUGCGGCUCAACCGUAAAAUUGCAAUUGAUACUGGCAGUCUUGAGUACAGUUGAGGUAGGCGGAAUUCGUGGUGUAGCGGUGAAAUGCUUAGAUAUCACGCAGAACCCCGAUUGCGAAGGCAGCUUACUAAGCUGUGACUGACAUUGAUGCUCGAAAGUGUGGGUAUCAAACAGGAUUAGAUACCCGAGUAGUC